rnacentral:rRNA from 1 species
CCAAUAGCGUAUAUUAAAGUUGUUGCAGUUAAAAAGCUCGUAGUUGAAUUUCGGGGUCAGUAGGUUGGUCAUGCCACUGGUAUGUACUGGUCUCACUGAUUCCUCCUUCCUGAUGAACUGUAAUGCCAUUAAUUUGGUGUUGCAGGGAAUCUGGACUGUUACUUUGAAAAAAUUAGAGUGUUUAAAGCAGGCUAACGCCUGAAUACAUUAGCAUGGAAUAAUGAAAUAGGACGUUCGAUCCUAUUUUGUUGGUUUCUAGGAUUGACGUAAUGAUUAAUAGGGAUAGUUGGGAGCAUUAGUACUCAAUUGUCAGAGGUGAAAUUCUUGGAUUUAUUGAAGACUAACUGCUGCGAAAGCAUUUGCCAAGGAUGUUUUCAUUAAUCAAGAACGAAAGUUAGGGGAUCGAAGACGAUCAGAUACCGUCGUAGUCUUAACCAUAAACUAUGCUGACUAGGGAUCGGAUGAUGUUAAUUUUUUAAUGACUCAUUCGGCGCCUUACG